rnacentral:rRNA from 1 species
AGCUAGUUGGUGAGGUAACGGCUCACCAAGGCGACGAUACGUAGCCGACCUGAGAGGGUGAUCGGCCACACUGGGACUGAGACACGGCCCAGACUCCUACGGGAGGCAGCAGUAGGGAAUCUUCCGCAAUGGGCGAAAGUCUGACGGAGCAACGCCGCGUGAGUGAAGAAGGUUUUCGGAUCGUAAAGCUCUGU